rnacentral:rRNA from 1 species
AUGGACUCCGACGACGAGGAGACGUUGGCGGCGCUGCUUGAGGAAGCCAACGCCGACGCCCAGGACGAAGAUCACCUCAUGGUCCUCGCCGCUCUGGCCGGCCUGCUCGCGAGCAAUGCAAAGCCGCGGCGAGGUGGCUCGGCGCCGGGCCGGAUGAAGGCAAAGCAGAGGCAUCGACUGGAAGACUAUUGCUUGCUCUACGCCGACUACUUCACCGAUGCUCGACCACACGGCGAGAAGGUAUUUCGGCGCCGUUAUCGAAUGAGCCGGAAGCUCUUCCUCAGGAUUGUGAAUUCCAUGAGGGAGUUCGACAGCUACUUCAAGUGCAAGAAGGAUUGCACCGGCAACUUGGAUUCACCUCACUCCAAAAGUGCACGACAGCUAUGA